AGGGAGACUGGGGGCGUGCCCCGGUGUGGAGCUGGAAGCGCAGGCUCAUGGCGGGGGACGGGCGUGCCGCCUGACGGGCUGCGGUCGGAGCUGGGGCCGGCAACCUCUGUGUUGGGCAGUGGGGCCGAAACCUGGCUGGGGCAGGCUGUGGGGUCUCGAUGUCUGUCUGAAGGCCUGUGGGGUUAACACUUGCCUGUGAUGGGCCGUGCGGUGGGGGUCCCCUGGUGAAGGGAUGUGUGGUAGUGGCCGCCCGUGGCAGGCUGUGGGGUUCGUGCCCCAUUGAUCCAAGAUGGAGUCCGAGCCCUGUUGGUAGCAGGCCUGGGGACGGGCUGUGGGGGGAGUCCAGGCUGCCCCAGCAGUUCCAGCAGGGUGCUGUGAGGGCUGGAGGCGGUGCCUGAGUGUGUGCAUGGUUUUAACUCCCCCAGGCUGCCCCGACAGCUCCAGCAGGGUGCUGUGAGGGCUGCCGGUGGUGAUUCCUCCUUGUUGCUUCCAGCCAGCCACUGGAAGGGCUAGAAUCUCUGGAGAUGUCUCUUCUGGAAAGCCACUCAAGUUAGAGCCAGCUGGGCUUCCAUUGCCCAGAGAAGUGCCUGUGCAGGGACACCAGAGGGUGUGUUGCCAGCCCUGGCACAUGGUGGCUG